rnacentral:lncRNA from 10 species
AUGUGUGGCAUAACCAGAACUGAAAUUGGUUUUCUGAUCCCUAGACUGGAGGCAUCAGGGCACUUAAGAAGCCACAGGCAGGAGACAUGCGGCACAUGGCUGGGCCCCACUGAUGAUGUAGCUGCUAAAAGCUCUAGAGAGUCAUUUUGGAUAGAAACAGACUCUGACAGGAGCCAUCAGUUGCAUGAAAUUAUGCUGAAAGCCUGUAGGCAAAAUCCCUGCUGAUGGAGGUUGCUAGCACCCAAAGUAGCAAUCAGGGUUACUUUUGAAUUCGGGCCAUCCUAGCUCCAAAGUCCAAGCUGCUUUUGUUGCACUGCAAAACCUCCCCUGGGUGGAUGCGACUUGCCAACAAGAAUCAAGGCAGAACUUUGCAGGGAGGCAUUGGGUGACUAGAGCCUUAUACUGGGAGAAGCAGGUUGGAGUGCCAGGCUGGUGGGAAUUUCU